GAUGAACGCUAGCGGGAGGCUUAACACAUGCAAGUCGAGGGGUAACAGGGGUAGCAAUACCUGCUGACGACCGGCGUACGGGUGAGUAACGCGUAUGCAACCUGCCCUAUACAGGAGGAUAGCCCGGAGAAAUUCGGAUUAAUACUCCAUGUAGCAUUUUUUUCGCAUGAAUUAGAUGUUAAAGAUUUAUCGGUAUAGGAUGGGCAUGCGUCCCAUUAGCUAGUUGGUGAGGUAACGGCUCACCAAGGCAUCGAUGGGUAUGGGGUCUUAAAGGAUGGUCCCACACACUGGCACUGAGACACGGGCCAGACUCCUACGGGAGGCAGCAGUGAGGAAUAUUGGUCAAUGGGUGAGAGCCUGAACCAGCCAUCCCGCGUGCAGGAUGACGGUCCUAGUGAUUGUAAACUGCUUUUCUAUGAGAUGAAUAAGAAUUACGUGUAGUUCGAUGACCGUAUUAUAGGAAUAAGCAUCGGCUAACUCCGUGCCAGCAGCCGCGGUAAUACGGAGGAUGCAAGCGUUAUCCGGAUUUAUUAGGUUAAAGGGUGCGUAGGUGGGCGUUUAAGUCAGUGGUUAAAGCCAUUA
rnacentral:rRNA from 1 species